GAAGUACGUUUGACUGUUGACAGUUGUGUCUGUGCUGAUAUAGAAAUUAUAUUGUGAUACUGAGUGGACGUUAUAUCCAUCCAACCUUUUGAGAAUAAUAACACUGUACGAUCCCCAGUCGAACAGUGCUGGAUAGAACCAUUUUAUCGACGACUUCGGAAUAUAACAAUAUCUGCCAGAGCGACAACCUUAGUCAAAAGACAGAUACAACCGAGGCAAAAGACCGCUUUACAACAGUGGCGACGAGGAAGAGCAAAUUUACGCGGAGUGAAAAAGAAAACAUUCACACGGAGAGUUUAAACUAAUUCACGUGGAAAAUUAAACACCUCGACAAAAAAGAGACAAAAAUCUUGAAAUAUGGAAGACUUGUUAGCUGGGAUAGUUGAGUUGCAAAAACAGCAACAACUCAAGGAACAAUGAAAACAACAACAAGAAUUGCAACAGCAAAUGAAGUUGAUAACCAGUCUGGAGAAUACAUUUUCACCUGACUAUGUAGCAAAUUCCAUAAGCGAAUUCAAAUAUAACCCCGAAGAAGUAACCUUCGAGGCUUACCGUCGAAUAUUUCAAAAUCUUUUGAAAUAGAAUGUCAGGAUUGGACGGACGAAAUGAAAAUGCUUCUAGUGUUAAGAAAACUAGCGACAGCAGAGCAUGAAAAAUAUAGUAACUUCAUAUUGUUCAAAAAGUUUAGUGAAAAGAGCUCACUGUUUAACACUAGAUGGAAAGUUUUAAAUAUAGAAAAGAGUGAAGAUGAAGGCAUAAUGCAAGGGGUUAAGUGAUGAUACAAUGGAGGAAAUGUUAGUUGGUGUAAGAAAUAGGUACUAGAUAUAGUUGGGGACUACAUUAAAAACUAAGGAAAAGUGUAAGAGGAGGGGAUGUUUACUUUACCUACAAGAGUCUCAGUUAUUCCUAACAAGACGAACUAUAAAAGGAGUAAGAUGUAUAACCUGCAUUAAACUAUUAGGGGCUAAUAUUCGUAUGCUGUGGUGUUAUAUGUACUAUUAUGGGGUAAUGUAAGUAUUAUUAAAUUGUAAGAAAUAGAUAAUAGAUGUGGGUGGAGAGGGGGUAACAUUUAAGACUUAGAAAAAGGGAAAGAGUUGAGGUUAGUUAUUUGACUACCUACAGGAGACUCGAUUAUUCCUAAAUAGGAUGAACUAUAGAAGGGGUAAGAUGUAUAACCUGCAUUAAACUAUCAGGGGCGACUAAUUGUAUGCUGUGGAGUUAUAAGUACUAUUAUGGGGAAGUAUAAGCAUUUCUAGUGUUAUUUAUAUUUAUCGAAAGCUACACUCCACUCAACACUCAAGUUCACUAACGGAUUACGUGCUGUUAGAAUAUAAAAAAUUUCAUUUAUGCAAAGAAGCAGAUCCGCAUGAAAACUUCGUUUAUGUCAAACACCAGUGGUCUUUGAACCGUGAAUACUUCAUUGAAGACGUUAAUAUUACCCUUGGUAUCAGCAAAGCCUUCGUUAUUAUGCAAGAGGACCUCGAAGCAAAACAGUCUGCUCCCAGAUCAUGUUCUUUGGCAAAGUUCCUAUUACAACAUUUCAUCAGUGUUACCGGUACUCACUUCUAUCCGCAUUCUGUAAACUCACGCAUAUCUCAGAUUUUUGAACAAGUUUUCCUGCUGACGAUGUGUUAUCAGAACACACAUAUUCUAAUACAGAUGGUAUUAGCUUUCAUUUAUCAAGAUUCUGCACAUUAAACUGGAAGCCAGCAAUAUCCAGACUUCUUAACAUUGAAUAUGCAAAUGAUUGACCCCAUUCAUUAAAAAUUAAAUUUCUCUUUUUCAACAAGCUUACUAUUCUAUGCUGAUGAUCUGGCAAUGUAUCACUUUCUCACAUUAUACUUAUGUACUUUAGAGAACUCCUGAACUUCUUUCCUGCACGUAUAUGGUCUAUUUGGUUUCUAGUCUAACUGUCAAAAGGACAUGAUAAUAAAAUGUAUUGAACUUCUAAUCUGCA